GGACCGGUUCUCGUUAGAUCACCGAAGUCAAGCAUCAUUGGGCGCGGUCAGUACUUGGGUGGGUGACCACCUGGGAACACCGCGUGCCGUU